rnacentral:ncRNA from 1 species
AUAUAAGCGUUGAAGGGAUCUUAGUAGUGCCUAGAAUUUUUGUCUCAGAGAGCUGGUGGUCGGUGCGAAUCAGUACAUAUCUAGGGCAUGAAUUACACUCCCCGAGCUUCUUUUUCGUAGUAAAGAUUUGGUCUUUAUGAAGGGAAAGACGGCACAUAGCCGUUAUCGAAAAUGAAGUGGUGGGCUUAUGCUCGCAACUAGGGUGGUACCGCGAUGUCUAUUCGUCCCUACU